rnacentral:tRNA from 1 species
AUCUGGGUGGCUCAGUGGUUGAGCAUCUGCCUUUGGCUCAGAUCGUCAUCCCGGGCACGUGGGAUCAAGUCCCACAUUAGGCU